rnacentral:rRNA from 1 species
AACGAACGCUGGCGGCAGGCUUAACACAUGCAAGUCGAGCGCCCCGCAAGGGGAGCGGCAGACGGGUGAGUAACGCGUGGGAAUCUACCCAUCUCUACGGAAUAACGCAUGGAAACGUGUGCUAAUACCGUAUACGUCAUUCGGGAGAAAGAUUUAUCGGAGAUGAAUGAGCCCGCGUUGGAUUAGCUAGUUGGUGGGGUAAAGGCCUACCAAGGCGACGAUCCAUAGUUGGUCAGAGAGGAGGAUCAGCAACACUGGGACUGAGACACGGCCCAGACUCCUACGGGAGGCAGCAGUGGGGAAUAUUGGGCAAUGGGCGUAAGCCUGAUCCAGCCAUGCCGCGUGAGUGAUGAAGGCCCUAGGGUUGUAAAGCUCUUUCACCGGUGAAGAUAAUGCCGGUAACCGGAGAAGAAGCCCCGUCUAACUUCGUGCCAGCAGCCGCCGUAAUAC